rnacentral:rRNA from 1 species
CCAGCACCCCGAGUGGUCGGGACGAUUAUUGGGCCUAAAGCAUCCGUAGCCGGUUUUACAAGUCCUCCGUUAAAUCCAACUGCUUAACAGAUGGGCCGCGGAGGAUACUGUAAGACUAGGAGGCAGGAGAGGCAAGCGGUACUCAGUGGGUAGGGGUAAAAUCCGUUGAUCCAUUGAAGACCACCAGUGGCGAAGGCGGCUUGCCAGAAUGCGCUCGACGGUGAGGGAUGAAAGCUGGGGGGAGCAAACCGGAUUAGAUACCCGGGUAGUCCCAGCUGUAAACGAUGCAGACUCGGUGAUGGACUAGCUUUAUGCUAGUCCAGUGCCGCAGGGAAGCCGUUAAGUCUGCCGCCUGGGUAGUACGGUCGCAAGACUG